rnacentral:lncRNA from 1 species
AUGAACCUGCUGCAGUACAGUAAGUCUAGUCUGUCUCACCUCACCCCCCUUCACCUCACCUCACCCCACCCCCCUUCACCUCACCUCACCCCACCCCCCUUCACCUCACCCCACCCCACCCCCCUUCACCUCACCUCACCUCACCCCACCCCCCUUCACCUCACCUCAUCCCCCUUCACCUCACCUCAUCCCCCUUCACCUCACCUCAUCCCCCUUCACCUCACCUCACCCCACCCCCCUUCACCUCACCUCACCCCACCCCCCUUCACCUCACCUCACCCCACCCCCCUUCACCUCACCUCAUCCCCCUUCACCUCACCUCAUCCCCCUUCACCUCACCUCAUCCCCCUUCACCUCACCUCAUCCCCCUUCACCUCACCUCAUCCCCCUUCACCUCACCUCAUCCCCCUUCACCUCACCUCAUCCCCCUUCACCUCACCUCAUCCCCCUUCACCUCACCUCACCCCCCCUUCACCUCACCUUACCCCCACUUCACCUCACCUUACCCCCACUUCACCUCACCUCAUCCCCCUUCACCUCAUCUCACCUCACCCCGUUUCACCUCACCCCGUUUCACCUCACCUCAUCCCGUUUCACCUCACCUCAUCCCGUUUCACCUCACCUCAUCCCGUUUCACGUCACCUCAUCCCCCUUCACUUUACCUCACCUCAUCCCCCUACACUUUACCUCACCUCAUCCCCCUUCACUUUACCUCACCUCACCUCACCCCCCCUUCACCUCACCUUACCCCCACUUCACCUCACCUUACCCCUCCUUCACCUCACCUUACCCCCCCUUCACCUCACCUCAUCCCCCUUCACCUCACCUCAUCUCACUUCACCUCAUCUCACCCCGUUUCACCUCACCCCGUUUCACCUCACCCCGUUUCACCUCACCCCGUUUCACCUCACCCCGUUUCACCUCACCCCGUUUCACCUCACCUCACCCGUUUCACAUCAUCCCCCUUCACCUCACCUCACCCCCCCUUCACCUCACCCCGUUUCACCUCACCUCACCCCGUUUCACCUCACCUCGCCCUUCACCUCACCUCACCCCCCUUCACCUCACCUCACCCCCCUUCACCUCACCCCGUUUCACCUCACCUCACCCCGUUUCACCUCACCUCGCCCUUCACCUCACCUCACCCCCCUUCACCUCACCUCACCCCCCUUCACCUCACCUCACCCCCCUUCACCUCAUCUCACCCCCCUUCACCUCACCUCACCCCCCUUCACCUCACCUCACCCCCCUUCACCUCACCUCACCCCCCUUCACCUCACCUCACCCCCCUUCACCUCACCUCACCCCCCUUCACCUCACCUCACCCCCCUUCACCUCACCUCACCCCCCUUCACCUCACCUCACCCCCCAACCCAAUCCGUUUACUUUUUGUCACCGUUCAAACUCACACCCUCCUCCAAAUUUUUCGAACUACCCCAUAACGUUCUUCUCCCGCUCUGUGUGUGUGUCUGUGUGCACGCACGUGUUCGUGCAUGUGUAGUAAUGUGUGCUCUUGCUCGUGUCAGUUAA